rnacentral:rRNA from 1 species
CCUACGGGAGGCAGCAGUAGGGAAUAUUGCUCAAUGGGGGAAACCCUGAAGCAGCAACGCCGCGUGGAGGAUGAAGGUUUUCGGAUUGUAAACUCCUUUUGUUAGAGAAGACAAUGACGGUAUCUAACGAAUAAUCACCGGCCAACUCCGUGCCAGCAGCCGCGGAAAUACGGGGGGUGCAAGCGUUACCCGGAAUCACUGGGCGUAAGGAGCGCGUAGGCGGGAUAGCAAGUCAGGUGUAAAAUCCUGUGGCUAAACCGUAGAACUACAUUUAAAACUGUUAUUCUGAGGUAUGGAGAGGGUAGGUGAAGUUCUUGGUGUGAGGGUAAAGUCCG